UUACGGCUCAGUAACACGUAGUCAACCUGCCCUAGAGACAUGAAUAACCCCGGGAAACUGGGAUUAAUACAUGAUAGAUCAUCUCAUCUGGAAGGAGAGAUGGUUUAAAGGGGUGCGCGAGCUUCUUUUGUGCAUCCGCUCUAGGAUGGGACUGCGGCCGAUCAGGCUGUUGGUGGGGUAAUGGCCCACCAAACCUGUAACCGGUACGGGCCUUGAGAGAGGGGGCCCGGAGAUGGACACUGAGAGAAGGGUCCAGGUCCUACGGGGCGCAGCAGGCGCGAAACCUUCGCAAUGCGCGAAAGCGUGACGAGGUUAAUCCGAGUGGUUCCCGCUGAGGGAAUCUUUUGUUGGCUCUAAAAUGGCCAGUGAAUAAGGGGAGGGCAAGUCUGGUGUCAGCCGCCGCGGUAAUACCAGCUCCUCGAGUGGUCGGGGCGAUUAUUGGGCCUAAAGCAUCCGUAGCCUGUUCUGUAGGUCUUCUGUUAAAUCCAACGGCUUAACCGUUGGCCUGCAGAAGAUACCGCAGGACUAGGAGGCGGGAGAGGUGGACGGUACUCCACGUGUAGGGGUAAAAUCCUUUGAUCCGUGGAAGACCACCAGUGGCGAAGGCGGUCCACCAGAACGCGCUCGACGGUGAGGGAUGAAAGCUGGGGGAGCGAACCGGAUUAGAUACCCGGGUAGUCCCAGCCGUAAACGAUGCGAGCUAGAUGAUCCAAUCGCAAAUCGCGAUUGGAGUGUCGCAGGGAAGCCGUUAAGCUCGCCGCCUGGGGAGUACGGUCGCAAGACUGAAACUUAAAGGAAUUGGCGGG
rnacentral:rRNA from 1 species